UACGGGGGGGGCAAGCGUUGUUCGGAAUUACUGGGCGUAAAGGGCUCGUAGGCGGCCAACUAAGUCAGACGUGAAAUCCCCAGGCUCAACCUGGGAACUGCGUCUGAUACUGGAUGGCUUGAAUCCGGGAGAGGGAUGCAGAAUUCCAGGUGUAGCGGUGAAAUGCGUAGAUAUCUGGAGGAAUACCGGUGGUGUAGACGGCUUUCUGGACCGUAACUGACGCUGAGACACGAAAGCGUGGGUAGCAAACAGG
rnacentral:rRNA from 1 species